ensembl:lncRNA
GGAGGGACCACGAGGACUGCGGGCCCUAGGGUCCACAGAUGACAUAUCAGUCGAUAGGCAUGCAUUUACUGUUCGAGGGAAACAAAUAAGGGUGCAGCUUAGGCGAAAAGAAAAUCGUCUUAUUGCCAGUGUCUAAACUCCUAACGACGGAAUGUGUCUCUGAGACUAUGAGUGUGGAUACACGUGUACUUAAAACAGCCCCGCCUGUGUGCAGAGCUCUUGCUGUACGUCAACGCUUUACAGGAGCUAUCGCACUUAAGCCUCAGAACAACUUGAUGAGAAAAUUGGACAGUGUUGCAGGUACUCAUUGAUGCAGGCCUACCAGCAGCCACAAAAGUGAGAACUGAAUACACUACAAGAAAUGUUGAAGAAAGAGCUUCAGACAGAAGGGAAAUGAUACCAUUUGGAAAUACAGAUCUACACAAAGGAAUGAUGAGCCCUGGAAAAGGAUUGGUUCCUGGAAGUGGAACUACUGUAUCAAAGAUUUGGAUGUUUUUAAGACCCCAGAAAGUGAUUCUCAUCCAAAACAUAGCAGCAUCGUGUCAUGGAAAAACACUGGACUGGGAGAAUCAGCUCUCGUCUCAACUCUUCCAUUAAAUGAAAGAUUUGAGCUUUUGGAAACCACUUUAACUCUUUGGACCUCAGUUUCGUCAGCUUCAUCGGUCUGCUAUGCCAAAAUGCCAGAAAAUGAACCUCAGUUUCUUGGUGAUAAUAAAGUGAACUGGCUUCCAGCAGAGAGAGAUCACGGCUUCUGUGACGGACUCCUGUACUUCUCCCUUCUCCAACCCCCUUCUCCACUGGCCAGUGCAGUCACCUUGCUCAGCCCUCUGGCCUCGCCUGGAAAACGUCCUCAUCAAUUCAGCUGGCUACCCCACUUGGCUACAGAGUACUAAAGAAGAGGCUGAACUUGAUCCUGCUGCCCUUGCAUACACAACACUCCCAUUGACUCUAGAGAAGACUUAAGUGCAUGAAAGGAUUCCAGGAUCAAAAGGUUAGCUCUACGGGGAGCUGCGUCUGGCUCAAGCAAUCCAUUUUUUUUUCCUAUUGACAGUGAAAACGUUUUAUAGUUCUUUUUCAAAGUUUUUCAAACUUUUACAAAAACAGGCUGCUUGUGAAAAAGUGAGAAGGCAUCUAAUUGAACUAUAUCCAGAGGAGAUCAUGGCAAAGACCAACAGGGAAGAAAACAUUUCUAAAUCACAGUGAUAUUGGUCAAAUCAUUUGUAUUUUAAAAAUAAAGUAUUUGAGGCACAAGCAGAGGGAAAUUUUCAUUAGGCAGCCUGGUUGGGCUAUGAACCAGAAUGUGAGAUAAACUAAAACACAAAGCUCAUGAGUUUUUAUCUUUGUCUGCUAAUGACAUCGGUGGCAGGAUUAUAUAAACUUUGCAUUUUAUGGAAUCUGUGAAAUAGGAAAAAGAAUACAUGCUAUAUCUAAAUGAACAGAUGUGCAGAUGCUUAACCAAUAUUUAAUUCAUUGCUGAGGAAAUAAAUGCCUUAAAAUAUUUUAAAAAGAGAAAUUGCCUUGAGAAUAAUUAACAAGUAGAGUAGUAAUAACAUUUUUGAAGAAAGUGAGAUACGAGUCUAUAUGUUAUACUUCUCAAUUUUCUCCAUUCAUUGGAGCUCCUUAGUGAAUCUAAGCAUUCAUUCAUUCACUUAUCAAACUUUUUUUGUACACUUACAAUGCGCCCAAUGUUAACCUAAUAGUUUUCCAAAACUUCAAUUGAGCAAGUAUAUAAGGAAGUGGAUUACAGUUAAUAAAACAGGACCCACAACUGGGGUUGGGGGAGGGGGCUGUAUGUCUCAAGUGUUUUGCAUCACUCUUCAUUAGGAAAUUUGCCUCAAGAAUUUCUCUGGCUUCACCUGGAACGUACACAUCUUGAUUGGCAAGUGGCUUCUGUGAUCCUACUCCUAGGAGUAGCUAAUGUAAUGUUUUUCUUAAUAUAUGUACUAGGACAGAGAAUGCUGUGUUGAACUAACUUGAAAAGCAUGUUUUAUAAUCAGAAAACUGAUUUAAUGUCAUUAGAGUUUUGAUCUUAAGCAUUUUCUAUUGUAUGAGCAAUGGAAAGGCUUGGUGAGGAGCUUGUCGAAACAGUUCUCUUGCAUUUUCACAUAAUUGGGCUCGACAGUUUUCUGCCAUUGCACAGGAUAACUGCAGUUGAUGGUGUUCAUGUUUUUACUUAAGGGCCAUUGAAUUGUAUUAGAAAUUUCAUAGUACACUCUUGUAAUCCUGUAAGUCAUUUUUGAGUUGCAUGAUUGAAAGUGAAUAAUAAUGUGCCGCAAAACAAAAAUUACUCAUGCAGUUAAAGCUUUUUGUGUGCGUGUAGUUUUAGAAACAACCAGUCCACAGAGAAUAGAGCUCAUGAAAGAAAUGAAAAUACAUGCUCAUCCCCACCCACUCUUUGUUGUCUCGGCUUAUUCAGAUCUGGUGAAAACAUUAAGCCACUUAACCUAAGUGGUAUUGGAUAGCUAAUUUAUUCAGCUUCUGGAAGGUACCAGGUUAGUGCUUGCAGAGGCAGCAUUUUAAAUUUUGGGGAGAGGGGGUUCUAGCAAACUCUUCCAGUUAGCAUGUGUCCAAAGGCCCACAGAAAUAAGGUACUUCUUUUUUCAACGACCUUAGCUUUUCUUGGGAAUUUUUAGAUGUUUUAUGGGUUACGUUCUUAUUUGGUGGUUAAGAUGGCUUGCUGAAAUGGAUCUAGAAAGACUCAGGGCAUUCACUGAUUGAAAAAGAGUUAUUGAGUGGGCACUCAGGGAGAAAAUCAAGGAGAUGUGACAAGGAGCAGUUUCUCUUUCUGGCUCCCAGAUCUCUCUUUUAGCCAAUUAAAAUUAAGGUCUGCCGUUUUCCUAUUUGUGUCAUUCAGGCCAUUGUUUCCAGAAGGGGCUUGCUAGAAUUCAAAGAUGUUCCUUUGGGGCAUUAGCAUAUCGGUUUAGAUGAGUUUGUUAGACUAACUAAGCAGUUACCUAUGGAACUAAGAAAGAAGCGUCUAGGAGGAGUUAGGGCAUAGACAUUCAGAUGUUAACAGAAAAAGAAGUUGGAGGAAGAAAGAUCCUGGGAAUAUAAUAACAUCUGCAGAAGGUAGCCCAGGGGUAGUCACAUAGCAUGGAAUUUUGGCAGCUUGACUUAGCAUAAACAUCCCAGAAUGAUGGUUUUGUUGGGGAUGGGGAUGAUGGAAACAAUAGAGUACCUCCUGUAAAGAGAGUUUAGGUAUUGCUGAAGACAAAUGUAACCUAUUUCAUUUGGAGUUUGGUCUUUACAGUAGCUCUUCAUGGGAGAUUAGAAGGCCUUAGCCUAUAUAUGGGAAAAGGCUUUCUCUCAAGUCUUCACUCUGCUUGAUCGAGGCUGCUUGGGAUGGGGUGCUGGGUCAAGAGAAGUUCUGAAGCCGAUUCCAGACUUAGAGGAAAGAAUUUCACCAUUUAAUGAUUCCUGCCAUGGUCUAACGGGAAGGAGUGAUCAUUGCAGCUUUAGACUCUGCUGCAUUUUUGAGGAUUUGGUGUAUCAGCAAUGGCAGUGAUGACUCAGUCCCCAGUCCUCACAAGUGUGUGAAGAACUUGGGACAUCCAGCUAAUGAAUCUACAAGAGUUCCAAGCAGCCUUGAUGGGCUUCAGCAUUCUCCUUAGAUAUUUGUGUUAACCUGGAAAAUUGCUUCUUGAAGAGAAAAGGAAGUGAUAUUUUUAGAAUUGGAUCAGCAUUUCCAGCACAUCUACUGAUGGGCUAGCUCCUCAGUGUUUACAUGGCAACAGGAUAAACUAUUAUUAGUACUGCUCACAUCGUGGUACAAUAUCAGAAUGUUUUUUGCUGUGGUAGACCAGCUAUACAGAUGAGAAAGUUGAGUGCAUUGAUUUAUUGAAAUUACCUUUGACACUUUAGCUGUGAUUUAUUCUCAGUUUCUUUUCUGAUGUCAGACUGUAAAUUCUCAUGUCCUUG